rnacentral:rRNA from 1 species
UGGGGAAUUUUGCACAAUGGGGGAAACCCUGAUGCAGCGACGCCGCGUGAUUUAGAAGGCCUUCGGGUUGUAAAAAUCUUUUCUAUGGGAAGAAAAUGACAGUACCAUAGGAAUAAGGACCGGCGAAUCACGUGCCAGCAGCCGCGGUAAUACGUAAGGUCCGAGCGUUGUCCGGAAUCAUUGGGCGUAAGGGGUACGUAGGCGGGUAAGCAAGUUAGAAGUGAAAUCCUAUAGCUCAACUAUAGUAAGCUUUUAAAACUGCUCAUCUUGAGGUAUGGAAGGGAAAGUCGAAUUCCUCGUGUAGCGGUGAAGUGCGCAGAUAUUAGUAGGAAUACCGGUGGCGCAGGCGACUUUCUGGCCAUAGCCUGACGCUGAGGUACGACGGCGUGGGGAGCAGACAGG